rnacentral:rRNA from 1 species
GUAGGGAAUUUUCCACAAUGGACGAAAGUCUGAUGGAGCAACGCCGCGUGCAGGAUGAAUGUCUUCGGAUUGUAAACUGCUUUUAUAUGUGACGAAUAUGACGGUAGCAUAUGAAUAAGGAUCGGCUAACUCCGUGCCAGCAGCCGCGGUCAUACGGAGGAUCCAAGCGUUAUCCGGAAUUACUGGGCGUAAAGAGUUGCGUAGGUGGCAUAGUAAGUCGGUAGUGAAAGCGUGGGGCUCAACCCCAUACACAUUAUCGAAACUGCUAAGCUAGAGGAUGAGAGAGGUUAUUGGAAUUCCCAGUGUAGGAGUGAAAUCCGUAGAUAUUGGGAGGAACACCGAUGGCGUAGGCAGAUAACUGGCUCAUUCCUGACACUAAGGCACGAAAGCGUGGGGAGCAA